rnacentral:rRNA from 1 species
AGAGUUUGAUUCUGGCUCAGGAUGAACGCUGGCGGCGUGCUUAACACAUGCAAGUCGAACGGAAAGGCCACAGCUUGCUGUGGUACUCGAGUGGCGAACGGGUGAGUAACACGUGGGUGAUCUGCCCUGUACUUCGGGAUAAGCUUGGGAAACUGGGUCUAAUACCGGAUAUGACCACUUUUUGGAUGGGGUGGUGGAAAGCUUUUGCGGUAUGGGAUGAGCUCGCGGCCUAUCAGCUUGUUGGUGGGGUAAUGGCCUACCAAGGCGUCGACGGGUAGCCGGCCUGAGAGGGUGUACGGCCACAUUGGGACUGAGAUACGGCCCAGACUCCUACGGGAGGAAGCAGUGGGGAAUAUUGCACAAUGGGCGCAAGCCUGAUGCAGCGACGCCGCGUGGGGGAUGACGGCCUUCGGGUUGUAAACUCCUUUCGUCAGGGACGAAGCGUAAGUGACGGUACCUGGAUAAGAAGCACCGGCUAACUACGUGCCAGCAGCCGCGGUAAUACGUAGGGUGCGGGCGUUGUCCGGAAUUACUGGGCGUAAAGAGCUCGUAGGUGGUUUGUCGCGUCGUUUGUGUAAGUCCACGGCUUAACUGUGGGAUGGCAGGCGAUACGGGCAUAACUUGAGUGCUGUAGGGGAGACUGGAAUUCCUGGUGUAGCGGUGAAAUGCGCAGAUAUCAGGAGGAACACCGAUGGCGAAGGCAGGUCUCUGGGCAGUAACUGACGCUGAGGAGCGAAAGCAUGGGUAGCGAACAGGAUUAGAUACCCUGGUAGUCCAUGCCGUAAACGGUGGGCGCUAGGUGUGAGUCCCUUCCACGGGGUUCGUGCCGUAGCUAACGCAUUAAGCGCCCCGCCUGGGGAGUACGGCCGCAAGGCUAAAACUCAAAGGAAUUGACGGGGGCCCGCACAAGCGGCGGAGCAUGUGGAUUAAUUCGAUGCAACGCGAAGAACCUUACCUGGGCUUGACAUACACCAGAUCGGCGCAGAGAUGCGUUUUCCCUUGUGGUUGGUGUACAGGUGGUGCAUGGUUGUCGUCAGCUCGUGUCGUGAGAUGUUGGGUUAANUCCCGCAACGAGCGCAACCCU